GAUGAAGAACGUAGCGAAAUGCGAUAAGUAAUGUGAAUUGCAGAAUUCAGUGAAUCAUCGAAUCUUUGAACGCACAUUGCGCCCGCUAGUAUUCUGGCGGGCAUGCCUGUUCGAGCGUCAUUUCAACCAUCAAGCUCCUUAGCUUGUGUUGGGGACCUGCGGCUGCCGCAGCCCCCGAAAUGCAGUGGCGGGCUCGUUGUCACACCGAGUGCAGUAAUCAUUCUUCUCUCCGGGCGUGGCGGUGGGUUCCGGCCGUAAAAUCACCAAUUUAUCAAGGUUGACCUCGGAUCAGGUAGGAAUACCCGCUGAACUUAAGCAUAUCAAUAAGCGGAGGA
rnacentral:misc_RNA from 1 species